rnacentral:rRNA from 1 species
GUAGGUGGCAAGCGUUGCCCGGAAUUAUUGGGCGUAAAGCGCGCGCAGGCGGUUCUUUAAGUCUGAUGUGAAAGCCCAGGCUCAACCGUGGAGGGUCAUUGGAAACUGGAGAACUUGAGUACAGAAGAGGAAAGCGGAAUUCCACGUGUAGCGGUGAAAUGCGUAGAGAUGUGGAGGAACACCAGUGGCGAAGGCGGCUUUCUGGUCUGUAACUGACGCUGAGGCGCGAAAGCGUGGGGAGCAAACAGGAUUAGAUACCCUGGUAGUCCACGCCGUAAACGAUGAGUGCUAAGUGUUAGGGGGUUUCCGCCCCCCUUAGUGCUGCAGCUAACGCAUUAAGCACUCCGCCUGGGAGUACGGCCGCAAGGCUG